CAACCAUCAUCCCGAAAAUUUCCCCUUGUGAAUUCAAAUGAACUGUAACACCAACGGCUGGUUCAUUACGUUGCCCUGUUGCAGAGAUCCAGAGUGCUCAUGGACAGGGCCAGAAAGCAGGGUAGAUAUGCCCUACUGAGAGCCAGCCUUGACUGUAAGAGCAAAGAUGUGCUUUCUCGAAGAUCUAGGGCUCUUGCUUUUAUAUUCGACAAGUUGUUUUCAACACUUCAGUCUUCUCAACUGUUAGGCGAAGUACUAUCAGGUUCUCGCUAGCUCUACACAAGAAAUAUUGCAAAAGUGCUCAUCACCAAAACAAAUGACUGAUCUGUCGAUCUGUGAGAGUCAAAAUUAACUUUCACGAUAAAGAAAAAUGUCUUUAAUAGGUUUAAAACAUGUUCUGAAAGGGGACCGAAAGGAUGGAGCCAGAGCACCCAAUAUUGUCUUUUCACUGUCACACAGCCUGUGCCCGCAGCAUGAAUUUUCCUAGGAAAUGUCAUUCUGAUGCCUUCUAUGUAGAAGAAACUUGAAUUGUCAAAUACUCACCAAACUAGCACAGUCUUCCAAAAACGGGGAAGACCUGGAACCAAACAGAAAGUGAAUAUUCAGCCAAGUAUGAAACUUUCAAAGAAAAUAAACUGCAUCUAUCCGUAUUAAACUCUUUGUUCAUUCUGAAUAAAAACAAUUUAAUUAAU